rnacentral:rRNA from 1 species
GAUGAACGCUGGCGGCAGGCUUAACACAUGCAAGUCGAACGCAUCCUUCGGGGUGAGUGGCAGACGGGUGAGUAACGCGUGGGAACGUGCCCUUCAGUUCGGGAUAACCCAGGGAAACUUGGGCUAAUACCGGAUACGUGCGAGAGCAGAAAGAUUUAUCGCUGAAGGAUCGGCCCGCGUCUGAUUAGCUAGUUGGUGGGGUAAUGGCCCACCAAGGCGACGACCAGUAGCUGGUCUGAGAGGAUGAUCAGCCACAUUGGGACUGAGACACGGCCCAAACUCCUACGGGAGGCAGCAGUGGGGAAUAUUGGACAAUGGGCGCAAGCCUGAUCCAGCCAUGCCGCGUGAGUGAUGAAGGCCCUAGGGUUGUAAAGUCCUUUCGACGGGGAAGAUAAUGACGGUACCCGUAGAAGAAGCCCCGGCUAACUUCGUGCCAGCCGCCGCCGUAA